rnacentral:rRNA from 1 species
UCAGACGAUGCGUCAUGCAUAUCAAUAAGCGGAGGAAAAGAAACUAACAAGGAUUCCCCUAGUAACGGCGAGUGAAGCGGGAAGAGCUCAAAUUUGAAAUCUUAAAGGGUUUCCCUUUACGAAUUGUAGUUUAAAGAAGUGUUUUCUGUUGAGGUUUUGGUAAAAGUUCUCUGGAAUAGGACAUCAUAGAGGGUGAGAAUCCCGUAUUUGACCUUUACUUUCAACUUUGUGAUACACUUUCAAAGAGUCGGAUUGUUUGGGAAUGCAGUCCAAAAUGGGUGGUAAAUUUCAUCUAAAGCUAAAUAUUGGCGAGAGACCGAUAGCGAACAAGUACCGUGAGGGAAAGAUGAAAAGAACUUUGAAAAGAGAGUUAAACAGUACGUGAAAUUGUCAAAAGGGAAGCGUUUGACACCAGUGUUGUUUUUCUGAAAAUCAAUUAAAGAACUGUUUAUGCUAAGUUGUUUAGACUUUAUCAGCUAACUGUUUAGUUUUGAGCUUUUCUUUAAUGCACUUUUCAGUUAACAAGUCAACAUCAAUUUCUUUUGCUGUAAAAAAGCUUGAGGAAGGUGGCUUGAGAUUCGUCUUAAGUGUUUAUAGCCUCUUGCCUAUGCAGUCGGAGAGAUUGAGGUCUGCAGCGUAGAUCCUUCGGGGCUAAAUGCAUUUGUGCUAAGUUAUAGCAUUUUAUAGACAACUUGUUGACUAUGAUUUGUCUUGUAGCUUACUCGCUUAUGUUAUUUUACCUACGCUUAGGAUGUUGAGCGCAUGUCUCUCUCU